rnacentral:misc_RNA from 1 species
UGUCUAAGCUACCCUUAAACCAUCUCUAAAUCACUUCUAAACCAUCCUCCAAAUUGUCUUGAACCGUUCUUUUUCGAGGCACCUUUCAAACCGUUUUAAACUGGAGCUCAAACCGGAAUCGGUGGUUCAGGAACCGUCUUCCAAACCAUCCCCUGGCGGUUUGGUUCAGAUUCAUGAUUUUAUUGAACUUGAACCGGCGGUUCCUGAACCGUGGCUACCCCUAGAUAAGGCUGUUUCUAAGCCUAAG